rnacentral:rRNA from 1 species
UACAGAGGCCUCAAGCGUUGUUCGGAAUCACUGGGCGUAAAGGGUGCGUAGGCGGCGCGGAAAGUCAGGGGUGAAAUCCCGGAGCUCAACUCCGGACUGCCCUGAUACUCCCGCGCUUGAGAACUGGAGGGGACAUUGGAAUUCACGGUGGAGCAGUGAAAUGCGUGGAUAUCGUGAGGAACACUAGUGGCGAAGGCGGAUGUCUGGACAGUAUCUGACGCUGAGGCACGAAGGCCAGGGGAGCGAACGGG